rnacentral:tRNA from 1 species
CCCCGAAUAGCUCAGCUGGAAGAGAGCUGUAAUUGUUAAGCAUCUCACCGAAAGGUCACUUGUUCGAUCCAGGUUUCGGGGA